GAAAAGAUAGAACCAAAGCAACAAAAAAACAUGUACUGUCUUUGAAAAAUAAAUAUGACUUUUUUAAAUGAGGGGAAGAAACACGGAGAUUAAUACUUGAAUAUCAAGAAUCAAAGUGAAAAUAAAAUUUUAAAAAAAAACAUGCAGGUGCCUACAUAGGUGCAAUAGAUCACCAAUGCAACAGAAAAAACCAUUUCGAAACGAAAGAAAACGAGGAAGUCAUACGAAGCCGGAGGGGUUACCUUAUCAAAAGCAGCGAACGAGGAUUGUCGAGCUAGACGAGGAAUGAACUUCAUCACCGAAAGCACACUCGAACCACGGCUAAGACGUCUAAACGGAAUACCACAGCCGAACGACGGAACUGAAAGUAUUUCUCAACUUCUUUUCGAUCCCUUAGGUUUAUCUCUAUACCUAUUUUGUUCUUGACGAAACUUUCUAAAAUAGGUUGACAAUCUCCUCUCAAAC
rnacentral:misc_RNA from 1 species